GAGGUUUUGAGAUUUUGCCAUCGCAAAUUUAGGGGCAGUGAGUGAGAAAGGGCGAGCUGUGUGAGAGUUGGUGCGUGCUGCGUCCCCCGUGUCCCAUGGGAAACCACUGGGGAAACAGGAGAGGGAGAGGGAGGACGUGCAGGAGAAGGAGGUGUGCUGGGAGUGGGAGCCCUUUCUGCAGCAUUUGUGCAGGUGAAGAAGAGCCAGAAAGGGCAGCCAAGGCAGCGCCCGUAUUGCGUGAAAGAACCAAAGUGAAAGUGAAACCAAGCCGGGGCUGAUCUGUGGGCUCGGGUUCCCCCUGCUCCAUGGCCACUCCGCUGCCAUAUGGCAGCACUUGUGCCAGGCCCAGUGGGGAGAGCCCCCAGCAGCCCUGCAGGAUCCUACCUGAGCCCAGCCGGAGGAGGAGCAGAGUGACGAGGGAAGUCAGGAGACCCCUGGCAUGGCCGGGAGAGGGCAAUCCCAAAGAUAAGGGAGUAAAAGACUGCAUGCAUAGAUAAUGGAACCAGCAAGAACUGUCUUGGAGUGCUGAAGUCUGUAAAUAAAAGGAAGGGUCAGAAGUUUAGCAGCGAGGAAGACUUCUGUCCUUCAUCAAAAGACCACCAGAGUACGCUGUACGACCACCCAAGGACUCUAGCGUGCAUGCGAAUAGGGGUGGGAACCUAUGUUAAUGAUUCUCCAGAGACCUGAUGAAUAUGUAAGAGACUUUUGGGAAAUGAAAUGAAUAUGUAUAUAUCCCAUCAAUAUAAACACCCUGGCAGUAACCAUUGGUGUGCAAGCUACGAGGAGCGAGCCCCUUGCACCCAGUGCUGCAAUAAACAUACCUGCUUUAUAA